AUGUUCCAACAUAGGAGCUUCAUAUGGAACCACGGUUGGACUAAUAGGCCCCACGGGUGGGGCCAAACUAGCCCGACCGCCAUUCGCGGGAUGGGGGAAGGGGGCUGCUUGGCCGGGCGGCCGCGGCGCCCCUUCCUAGUAGGGGCAUCCACGGCCUCGGUUUCCCGAGCGGAAAUGCCUACACUAGCUCUUAUCUGGCCAUGGGCCGGGCCGGGCCGGGCUUGGGCCGGGCCUAAAAAAGCCCAUGGCAGAAAAUUGAGGCCCAGGCCCUCCCAGGCCCUACCAUCGGGCCUACUUUUCAAGCCCAAGCCCGGCCCAUCUGGUAAAAGGCCCUGA
rnacentral:rRNA from 1 species